rnacentral:lncRNA from 1 species
UAGUUAAUUUCAAUUAAAAAAUAUUCUCCGGUAGACUAGAGAAUCCAUCAACAUCCUCAAAAUAAUGUUUUUCUUUUAUCAUUCAAAAAUCGAUUUCAAAUCCGAGUGAAUGUUCUAAUUUUUAUGCAACUCCAAUCGCCUCCCUGUGGAUCGACCUCUUACAACCACUAUUCUUCGAGUAGGAAAGAUAAGAGUAAAAAUUUAAAUUUAACUU